GACGAACGCUGGCGGCGUGCUUAACACAUGCAAGUCGUACGGUAAGGCCCUUUCGGGGGUACACGGGUGGCGCACGGGUGAGUAACACGUGAGUAACCUGCCCACAACUUUGGGAUAACGCUAGGAAACUGGUGCUAAUACUGGAUAUGUGCUCCUGCUGCAUGGUGGGGGUUGGAAAGCUCCGGCGGUUGUGGAUGGACUCGCGGCCUAUCAGCUUGUUGGUGGGGUAGUGGCCUACCAAGGCGGCGACGGGUAGCCGGCCUGAGAGGGUGACCGGCCACAUGGGGACUGAGAUACGGCCCAGACUCCUACGGGAGGCAGCAGUGGGGAAUAUUGCACAAUGGGCGCAAGCCGGAUGCAGCAACGCCGCGUGCGGGAUGACGGCCUUCGGGUUGUAAACCGCUUUCAGCAGGGACGAAGCUUUUUGUGACGGUACCUGCAGAAGAAGCACCGGCGAACUACG
rnacentral:rRNA from 1 species